rnacentral:tRNA from 1 species
UUAUAUUUAGGUGUUUGAUGCAUUUUAAUUUUUGAAAUUUAAGGUUUAGAUUAAUUCUAAAAAUAUAAU